rnacentral:rRNA from 1 species
CAGUCGUACCUUCGGGUAAUCAGCCUUUCGGGUGCGAUUCUGUGGGAUGUGAAGAGUUUAACGCCUUCACGUUUUGCAUAUUCGUGCUCUUGGGUGUACUUGCCCGUGUGGUUGGUUAACAUCAAUUUUGGACGCCAUAAAAUGGCUGGGGGAAUGUAGCUUCGAUCUCGUAUUGAAGUGUUAUAGCCUUCGGUAGAUGUGACGAUCGGGAUUGAGGAUUGCAACGGAUACCCUUCGGGGCUACCUGUCUGAUCUCUGAUUGUUGCUCUGGUGCCGAAAGCUUGCUUACGGUUAUCAAAGUCGAUGGUC